rnacentral:lncRNA from 1 species
AGUAAUAGCUAAGCAUUGGUAGGUUUUGUCCUUACGUUUAUUGCCAUUCCCCCAUUAUCCCUAUCAACUAUGGAUACUCAAACACGACACUACACCUUACAACAUGAAAAUUUUGGAAGAAAUUGACAUCGGGAGAAUUUUAUUGUUGCAACAACUAGUUACUGCUGCAGAGGUAAGUAACCACGGAAUUAGUUUGCGAUAAAUCAUAUCAAGGAAGGCCAAUUUCCCCCAUUUGUCAUCCAACUCUAAUAAUUCUCUCACUCCUUACUGCAAAAUCUCCUCCACCGAUGACUUUAAGGUAAUUUUUUCAUCCUUACUACUCACGUUAUGUAUUUUUAUUUUGUAGAAUUAUAGAGUCAUGUUAGAAUUUAGAAAUUUAGAGGUGAUUUUUGUGAAACUCCUUGUACUUGAACUUGGUGGUGUUUAUCAACAAAAUAAAGAACAUGCUUCAAUCUCUUAUAUCUACAAAGAUCCUAUAGCAUUCGAGGCAUAAUAAUAAUGUAUCAAAUGGCUGAAAUUUUCAAUGGGAGGGUAAUAGGUGUAGUGUCAUCUUCUCCAAUGAAAUUAACUGAUUUGGGGGUGAAAUUUGGUUUUGUACAUUCUCAUUUUUGUGUAAAAAAGUUUAUGGGGACUUUAAUAAGACCGAUAAUAAUAUUGAACUUGAGAAUAUGAUGAAAGGACAAAAUCCACCAUAAUAGGGGAGAUUGGCGGGUUGAAUAAUGUGAAUCAUUGCAGUGGUACCAUUGCAAAAACUAGUUAACCACCAAUGCCGUACUAGGCAGAAGCUUUUUAGUUUUUUAUUUUUCUAUAAUUUUGAAUUUUCUACCCUCCAUCAGUACCCUGUCUUUAUUUCAACAUGUUUUUGUAUUUUGUAGGAUCAUCAUAGCCUAACAACUCCCCCACUACUAAAGGUUUCUGGACAAUGCUAAC